rnacentral:rRNA from 1 species
UACGGAGGGUGCAAGCGUUAUCCGGAUUCACUGGGUUUAAAGGGUGCGUAGGUGGGCAGGUAAGUCAGUGGUGAAAUCUCCGGGCUUAACCCGGAAACUGCCGUUGAUACUAUUUGUCUUGAAUAUUGUGGAGGUAAGCGGAAUAUGUCAUGUAGCGGUGAAAUGCUUAGAUAUGACAUAGAACACCAAUUGCGAAGGCAGCUUACCACACAACGAUUGACGCUGAGGCACGAAAGCGUGGGGAUCAAACAGG